AUCAAUUCUUGGUCUUUUGGAUAAGAUUGAGUAUAAUAUCUGUUCUUAUUAGUUUAAUAUCUGAUAUGUCCUCUAUCUGAUGACGAUAUAUGAAAUUGAUUUUUGGAGCAGGGAGAGGAAAUAGCAGCUUGCUUUGUCCACUCCAUGCAUCAACUUGGGGUUGCAGCAACUCCUGAAAAGGUGCGCUCAGU
rnacentral:snRNA from 1 species